rnacentral:rRNA from 1 species
GUUAGCUAGUUACGUAGAUCGUGCAUGUGUCAGUAGAGAGAAGCGAGUCAGUAACUGACCUAGCGGCGGCCGGGUGAGUAAUACUUAGGAAUCUGCCUAUUAAUGGGGGCCAACAUCUCGAAAGGGAUGCUAAUACCGCAUACGCCCUACGGGGGAAAGCAGGGGAUCACUUGUGACCUUGCGUUAAUAGAUGAGCCUAAGUCGGAUUAGCUAGUUGGUGGGGUAAAGGCCUACCAAGGCGACGAUCUGUAGCGGGUCUGAGAGGAUGAUCCGCCACACUGGGACUGAGACACGGCCCAGACUCCUACGGGAGGCAGCAGUGGGGAAUAUUGGACAAUGGGGGGAACCCUGAUCCAGCCAUGCCGCGUGUGUGAAGAAGGCCUUAUGGUUGAAAAGCACUUUAACCGAGGAGGAGGAUCAUUUAGAUAAUACCCAAGAACGGAGGACGCAGAACGCAGAUUAAGAAACGCCGAACUCGUUGCAAUGAGCCGCAAAAAUACAGGGGGGUCGCAACCAUAAGYGGURAUCUUGAUUUCUAAAAAAGGCCCSCCGUGCACAGUCGUAUCAUCUGUGAAUUCUGCUAGGAAAGGAAUCCCUGAGGUGCCUCUCUAGUUAGCCAGCCUGAGGGAAAAAAUCUAAAAACGCCCCCAGUUCUCUAGUUACUCGGUGCCUC